AUUGAACGCUGGCGGCAGGCCUAACACAUGCAAGUCGAACGGCAGCGGGGGGAAGCUUGCUUCCCCGCCGGCGAGUGGCGGACGGGUGAGUAAUGCCUGGGGAGCUGCCCAAUCGAGGGGGAUACCAGUUGGAAACGACUGCUACUACCGCAUACGCCCUGAGGGGGAAAGGUGGGGAUCUUCGGACCUAUCGCGAUUGGAUGCACCCAGGUGGGAUUAGCUAGUUGGUGAGGUAACGGCUCACCAAGGCGACGAUCUCUAGCUGGUCUGAAAGGAUGACCAGCCACACUGGAACUGAGACACGGUCCAGACUCCUACGGGAGGCAGCAGUGGGGAAUAUUGCACAAUGGGGGAAACCCUGAUGCAGCCAUGCCGCGUGUGUGAAGAAGGCCUUCGGGUUGUAAAGCACUUUCAGUGGGGAGGAAAGGGUGGAAGCUAAUACCUUUCAUCUGCGACGUUACCCACAGAAGAAGCACCGGCUAACUCCGUGCCAGCAGCCGCAGUAAGAC
rnacentral:rRNA from 1 species